GGCCCGGCGGGAACAAACAGCUGCCGCGGCGGGAGCUGGCUCGGGUGGCUGGAGGCGGGUCCUCCUCUGCCCGCAGAUCCCGCAAACGCUCCGCUCCCCGGAGCCGCCGCCUGGAGCCAGUGCGCUGAGCCCCUGGAUGUUAAGGUCCACGCGGGCGCCAAACGGAGCCGGGAGAAGUAGCGACAGCCCCCACCCUUCAUCUACCCAAGGCAGCGCCCUGGGCCACCAAGGCCGAAGCGCAGUUGGAGCUCGAGCGGGAGCCUGAGACGGCCCGACCUAAGCCGCCCGAGCUGGGCCCGCCGGAUCCCAAGCGGCUUCCGGCCCAAGGGGAGACGCAGUUGAGUGACCGCGAGGAGCAAACUUGGCGCCCUCAGCCUCGGGCCUCGGAGAGGUGAGAGAUUCCGGCCGCGAGGAGAUCCCUCUCCUCCCUUCCAAAGCCGAGACCCCGCCACACAUCCUCUUGCCGCGGCGCGGGACCCCGGACGCAGGAGUGUGUGCGGGGAGACCCGGGGAGCGCGUCGCCCUCUCCCCGAAGCUUCUGUGCGGCGCUUUGGCCGCAUUCCGGGAGCGCGGACCGAUCCAUCGCUCUGAGUUUGCCUGCACCCCGCCCUUUUCGGUACGGGUAUCCGUUUGUCUUGGGCUCUGUGACUCUGUGUCUCUCGCCUUCGGUGAAUCUCUGCCUUGUUUCCUCUGGAAACCCUGCAUUUGUCUGGGUGUCUCUUCGUGGGUCCGAGAAUCCCUCGCUCCAUUUCCCUACCCCCAGUCGCACUGCAGGGCUGCUCCCCCUUUCUGGCCGGACUUGUAGGCUCUACGGACCGGCCACAGGACCCCGACAGACACCUUCCUCAGUGAACCCUGACCUCAGCUCUAGGCCAGCGUUGCCUCGUCUCUCAGGAGCCCGUGCACACAAGCCGCCUCCCGGCACCCCUAUCCUGGAACUACGUCGGGGGGGCCUCGCUUGAGCCCCAGCACCGAGCAGCGGUUGAGACCCGGACGAGCUGCGGAGCCUGCCGACUCUGGUUCGCGGGAAGAGGGUUGCGGGCCCAGGCAAGGGUGAAAACAGCGCGGCUCCGCAGCCGCCCAACCUGGGGCUCUGGCUUCGCAGCGACCGCGGUGCUACAGGCUCCCCUCGCUGCGGAGACGCACAGCUGGGGGCAAGGGAGAGGGGACUCUUCCAGGUGUGUCGGAGCGUCAGCCUCAGGUCUGAGUGCCCCUAUUGUCUAAGUGCGUCCCGGGUUUUUGCGAACGAGGGUCUGUUUCUCCUCCCUCCGCGUGCGUGUGCCCCUCCGGACGCCGGUGGCUCUGUGUGUCCGACCCGCGCCUGUCCUGAUUGCUCCCCUGCCAACCGCACGAUCGGUGCGGGGACUGCCCUGGAAGCCUCGCCGGCCAGACCCACCGCUCUGCCCCAGCGCCGGAAGCGGCAGGACGUGGCUGGGACUGCGAACCCACUCCAGGCCCGCAGCGGUGACCCUGGCGGGGAAGGAGGAUGUGUGAGGGUGCAAGCGUGGGUGUGGGUUUGGGACGAGAGCCGGGAGAGAGAGGAGAGCGCACCGGCAGGGCGCGGCGGAGAGCCGGGAAGAGUGUAGCGGCGGCCUCCUGCCCACCAACUGCACGCCGCCCGCUGGAGUAGCAAGACCUCGGGACCCGGACGCCCUUCCGCAGCCCUGAAGUGGGGCAAGGCGGGAGGGAAGGGGGGGGGGGCCCAGCCGAACCCGGUAACCGGCGCAACACGCACACGCGCGCGCCAUCGAGUUUAGCCUUUCGGAGCCCCAGGCAGGGUUGCUGUGAAACAGUAAGCCCCUGCGUGGUUGGGGAAAUGAUGCCGGGUGCCUGACCCCUCUGGAGCCCGUGCGGAGCCGCGUAAGCCCCACAGAAGCAAAGCGAGGGGACCAGAGGGCGUCUCGGCCUUGCCAUGUAGACCCGGUGACCGAUUCCUGGGGAACAGCGACCUCUGGAGGAGCGGCGCGUCCACGCAGAGAGUCAGGAACUGGACGACCAGGUCUAGGACCAGAGGGCCCUUUCUCCACCCCACCCCUUUGGCAAACUCAUCCAGAGACUCAUAACCUCCAGACUCCUCUUCGCGCAUGCUUGCUUCCUUUCCCAACCUGUACUCAUGCUUCAAAUCCUUGCUGAGAUCCCGCCACCUCCAGAAAGAAGGCUUCUUGGGAGCCCAAAGCAUCUUGCCCUCUUCCUGCUCUGAGCUCCUCAAACUGAAAGCCUGAACCCUUGACAACAGCGCUUGCACCCCGUUCUGCACAGCCGACCUGCUUCCUGCCUCGCCCUUCUCCAAAAAGCCGUUAAUCCAUACGCUCCACCCACCCUUUGCAUUGCAUGCUGGGUGUGCUGUUUUUCUUUCCCUCCAGUAAAUAAAAGACUUAAGCCAUUUAUCCCAAAA